rnacentral:rRNA from 1 species
AGCGAACGCUGGCGGCAUGCUUAACACAUGCAAGUCGCACGGUUGGGGGCAACCCUGGCAGUGGCGGACGGGUGAGGAACGCGUAGGAACGUGUCCUGAGGUGGGGGAUAACGCUGGGAA